AUUCUCAGGCUGAUGGAGUGAGUGACAGAGUGGGUUGCCAACUCGAGUGACUCCACUCAGUGUACACAGUGGCUACGGGGGAUAGAUUCAGACAUGCCCAAAGAAGUCUGCCUAUGGGGAGACUCAUACCUUUGAGGUUUAAAUCAGAAACUACACGAUUCUUGUUGCUAUAUUUUGUUAAAAAGGAAAGAGAGGCUGUUUCUACAGGUGUUACAGAAAAAUCAAUACUGAGCCACGGAUUAUUGGAUCCCAUAGAACCAUGGAGACUUGGCAGUGAAAUUCUUCCAAAGGCAGACGGUGUUCCUAGGUUUGGAAGUAUAAAUCCCAGGGGAAGUGAGCUGAAGAACAUUUCAUGCAUCACUCAUCCUAUUAUGAGCCUUGUGCUGUUCCAUCUCUCUACAAGACUGGCAGAAACAACAACAAAAAUUGUUUAUAAUUUACAUUCUAACUUUGGAUCACCUAGCUCAUACCCUGACUCUGACUACCCAGAGAGACAAAGCUUUGAAGGAAGAAGUAGCUAUUGGAAGGCCGUUUCUGCUUUAUUAAUAAAAUCACAGGGAAAAUGCGACAUUCUGGAUGUCCCAUCUGAUGAGGAGUCAACAUCAAGAGGAAAGUAG
rnacentral:lncRNA from 12 species